rnacentral:rRNA from 1 species
GCUUGGCAGUAAACCUUAAAUUACACCCAAAUCGCCUGGGAACUACGAGCGAAGCUUAAAACCCAAAGGACUUGACGGUACCCCAAAUCCACCUAGAGGAGCCUGUCCUAUAAUCGAUAACCCCCGCUUUACCUCACCACUUCUAGCUAAUCAGCCUGUAUACCUCCGUCGUCAGCUUACCCCGUGAGCGAAGAAUAGUGAGCUUAAUGCCACUUCACCAACACGUCAGGUCAAGGUGCAACUUAUGAAGUGGAAAGAGAUGCGCUACACUCCCUACCUUAGGGCACACGAAAAACUACCGAUGAAAUCUAGUUUGAAGGCGGAUUUAGAAGUAAAAAGAAACCAGAAAGUUCUUCUUAACUUGGCACUGGGGUGCGUACACACCGCCCGUCACCCUCCUCAAGGUCCUACUAUAGUCUUUAACUUUAUUAUGACAAACAGAAGAGGCAAGUCGUAACACGGUAAGUAUACCGGAAGGUGUGCUUGGAACC